UAGUGUUAUAGCUCUUUUAGAAUUUAUCUAGCAUGUUUUCCACUUUCCCCUGGAAGACCCC
rnacentral:snRNA from 1 species